rnacentral:lncRNA from 1 species
GCCGUGACAUGAUUAAUCGUUUUCUUCUGAUCUAAUUUUGGAACAUGAAAAACAGCACAUUUGUCUUGAAGAAAAAUGAUGUGCCGAACUGCGCAGAUGGAAAUUUCGAGCAAUGAGAAAGAUUAAAGUGAAACCCCACUCCUUAGACCUAAUCAUGAGUUGUAGAUUAUUCUGUCGGCCCAGCCAGAUGGUAGCUCUGAUUCCACAGCCCCUUCUUAUAUUAAUGAAUACUCGACUGUUAUAUUUGACUUAGGCUUCUCAUCUGUAACUGGUGAAGCCCGGAAGAGCUUGUUGUUCAAGAGGAAAUCUUGUGUUACUUCUUUAUGAAGGACUCCAGCCUGGUGGAGAUGAAUGAGUCCUGAAGAUGGAAUCGAAGCUGUUUGGGCACAAACAAGGUUUCACUCUUGUUGCCCAGGCUGGAGUGCAAUGGUGUGAUCUAGGCUCACUGCAACCUCCACCUCCCGGGUUCAAGUGAUUCUCCUGUCUCAGGCUCCCAAGUAGGUGGGAUUACAGUACUUUAAUCAGCAUUUAAUGACCCAGUCGAAAAUUCAUUGUUUGGACCCAAGCACUGGUGGGAAAGGCAGGAGGGGAGGCCUGCCUUCCUUCCUCCCUCCCGAGCCCUACAGCAGGCCAUGGAGUGGUGAGCGAGUUCGUACAGUGCCAACCACAUUCCCAGAAACUUCCAGCAGAGGUUAAUCCUGCUCCUCUCAGGUGGGCUUGGCCCAUUCUCUAGACUUUGGAAGGUAAUGUUCUAUAGAGGCCUGUUCUGAAGCUUUACCAGGUCAAACCGGAGAAGAACCCAACAAGUAACUCAUCCCAGCCUAACUAUUCUUCAAGGGCAAUCAACCUACAGCAUCCAAGCACAGAGAAAUCAAAUCCAUGGAGAAUCUUCAAAUUAGGCUCAGAAUCCAUUUGGGUCAAUGAAUUUACUGUUAUUAAGAUCUUAGUUGUGUUCAACCAUGAUUUGACAUACCUUAGAGUGAGAAGAUAUUCUUCCUGGCCUCAGACUAGUUGAAGGUAGAGAGAGAGACAGGCCCUUGGGUGUGGGGAGACCUCUCCUGGGAUAAUACACACAAAAAACCAAGAGCUGCUCACUGUGGUGCAGGAGACAGCAGGGCCUGAAGCCAGAGGCUCUGUGUCCUUGAAUACAAUGUUUUACUCCUCUGACCCCUGUUACUGUGAUUUGGAGAGGCAGACAAUAUAGGAUGGGCUUUGCAGGCAGGGAGGUCCAGUUAUAAUCCCAGCUCUUACUAAGUUGGGUAAGACUCACUCUGAGACUUAGUUUCUUCUGUCAUCUCUCAAUAGAAUCAUAAAGGUACUUUCCUCUUAGUGUUGUUUUAAAAUUCAGUAAAAUAAUGCAGGCUUAGCACAGGGUCUGAUGUAAAUUUUCAAUGAAUUAUCGUUGUCAAUAUUGUUCUGGAAAACAAGAGGGCAUAUUAGAAGAUCAAAAGUACUGCCAAGCAUUGAAGUGCCAAUUCUAGAUCCAGUCUCAGCCCUCUGAGAAUGGAUAUCAUUGUUUUCAAGCCAUUCAGAAACCAAUGUGAAUUGAACACCUAGUAUGAGCUCUCUGAGGGAAGAGCCAAGUCAUGCAUUUUUUAUCUUAAGGGGUCUUCAAUACCUCUAGCCCAAAACAGUAUCUCCAUCAGGAUUCUUCUCUGAUAGUGUUCAUUUCUUUUUUCUCAAUGGAUGCCUUAAAAAAAAAAUCCUACAAGGAAACCUGUACUCCUCAAAUACACCACUCAGGUGACCAUUAAAUCAUUUACAUUGUUAAUUUCUUUUCAGAUGUGUGUCUUUUUCCCUAGUUACAUCAUCAGGACCUUGAAGGUAGGGACAGGUCUUAGAUUUCUUGAUGCCCCCAUAAAUCUAGGUACAGAGUAGGUCUCUGGACAUCAGUAUAAGGCCCAUGAGCCUGAUAGCUGCCCAGGUGGGUGCUGUGUGCCUGGGCGUGGGAAGGACAAAAGAGAGGUCACUAAAGGGGUUCCUGGGAAGGAAGAGCCCCUCUGACUUUAAAAGGGAGCCCAUACACUUUUUGGACAACUGGAAUAAUCAGAAAGCUGUUUUUGGGGAGGCAGCAGCCAGAAAAACCUGGGGCAUUGGGUCAACCAAAGCCCUUCCCAAGGCUGCAGUGGCUGCAGCUAGUUAGCCCAGCUUCCCUACCAGCCCCAGGGCUGCAACUGAACAGUGUUGGCUUCUUAAUAAAAACAG